rnacentral:rRNA from 1 species
AUUGAACGCUGGCGGCAGGCCUAACACAUGCAAGUCGAACGAGCGGCGGACGGGUGAGUAAUGUCUGGGAAACUGCCCGAUGGAGGGGGAUAACUACUGGAAACGGUAGCUAAUACCGCAUACCAUCAGAUGUGCCCAGAUGGGAUUAGCUAGUAGGUGGGGUAAUUGCUCACCUAGGCGACGAUCCCGAGCUGGUCUGAGAGGAUGACCAGCCACACGGGAACUGAGACACGGUCCAGACUCCUACGGGAGGCAGCAGGGGGGAAUAUUGCACAAUGGGCGCAAGCCUGAUGCAGACAUGCCGCGUGUGUGAAGAAGGCCUUCGGGUUGUAAAGCACUUUAAGCGGGGAGGCGUUACUCGCAGAAGAAGCACCGGCUAACUCCGUGCCAGCAGCCGCGGUAAUAC